rnacentral:rRNA from 1 species
GACGUAGGGUGCGAGCGUUGUCCGGAUUUAUUGGGCGUAAAGAGCUCGUAGGCGGCUUGUCGCGUCGACCGUGAAAACUUGGGGCUUAACCCUGAGCUUGCGGUCGAUACGGGCAUGACUGGAGUUCGGCAGAGGAAGGUGGAAUUCCACGUGUAGCGGUGAAAUGCGUAGAGAUGUGGAGGAACACCGAUGGCGAAGGCAGCCUUCUGGGCCAACACUGACGCUCAUGCACGAAAGCGUGGGGAGCAAACAGG